GAUGAACGCUGGCGGCGUGCCUAAUACAUGCAAGUCGAGCGAACGGACGAGAAGCUUGCUUUUCUGAUGUUAGCGGCGGACGGGUGAGUAACACGUGGAUAACCUACCUAUAAGACUGGGAUAACUUCGGGAAACCGGAGCUAAUACCGGAUAAUAUUUUGAACCGCAUGGUUCAAAAGUGAAAGACGGUCUUGCUGUCACUUAUAGAUGGAUCCGCGCUGCAUUAGCUAGUUGGUAAGGUAACGGCUUACCAAGGCAACGAUGCAUAGCCGACCUGAGAGCGUGAUCGGCCACACUGGAACUGAGACACGGUCAAGACUCCUACGGGAGGCACCAGUAGGGAAUCUUCCGCAAGGGGCGAAAGCCUGACGGAGCAACGCCGCGUGAGUGAUGAAGGUCUUCGGAUCGUAAAACUCUGUUAUUAGGGAAGAACAUAUUUGUAAGUGACGGUGCGCAUCUUGACGGUACCUAAUCAGAAAGCCACGGCUAACUACGUG
rnacentral:rRNA from 1 species